CUUUGAACGCUUUAUGUCAUAAACAUCACUCAAACGCCAAGAUCCCGGGCGCAAGCGGGCUAAUGUAAACCCUUCUUGUAAGCGUGAAGGUUACUUUAACAGCGUCCGCCAAAACACCUAUAGUGGUCCUUGGCGCGGUGCGCACGACUAGUAACGACACCUUUAGUUGUUCUUGGCGUUCAAAAGCUUAACAGCAUCGUUCGUAGACGUUUCUGGUUAUUAAAAAUUAAAACAUUGGUGUCAUCCGGCGGAGCGGAAACGAGAACCAAGGCUAUUGGUGGCUUUCCGCACGUCUCGUCCUCGCAUCAGUGGAUAGGCAACCUUAGGAUUUAUCAGCCAGAAAACACCCAAUAAACGGAUACACGAAGUAAGAUUAAUUGCUGCAACAGCUUGUGAUCUUAUAUCCCUCCUACUCUUCUUCUUCUUUUUUAUUCUUAUACCUUUUAACAUGAAGAGUUGUAGACAUCUAAUAAAUGAAAUAGGUGGUAAGAUGUCAUUAACAAGUAAUAAAUAUUUCACUCCAUAAGUAAAACAUCAAUAUUUUGUUUAGGAGUCGAGUUCGCUACUCCCUAAUAAGUAGUGUCAUUGCCACUUUAACAUGACCUCCGCAUAGAUACCGCACAGCGGAGUUGCUUUUAUAACUACCAUUGAAAUACACUUUACGUACACCACAUAGAGUAGAUUCAUAUGGAGUAUGGAAUAUAUUUCUAGAUAAAUAACAACAAUAUUCAAACACAUUGUAAAAAUAGUCUAUAUGUCGGCGGCCGAUCGUAAGAUCAGGCAGAUCGUAAUGUUCCUGUGUAAUGUUUUGACGAUAGUCACAUUAAACCAAUAUAUAGGUAGGACAGGUUCGUUAGGUUGCUUCAGAUGCCCGAAGGGCAAACUGCCCAGAAAUAGGAGCCCCGCCUAGCGGGGCUCCGUCGACUCAGGGAACGAGUCAAAGAUUUUCACGUUUCACGAUAUGCCUAGGAAUUUCACGAUAUGCCUGAUCUUACGAUCGGCCGCCGACGUAUAUACCUACAU